ACUAAGGUAAUUUAAUAAAAAUAUCAGCCUGUGGCACUGAAAACGCCAGUUAAACCCUGGCCCUAUGUC
rnacentral:tRNA from 2 species